UACGUAGGGUGCGAGCGUUAAUCGGAAUUACUGGGCGUAAAGUGUGCGCAGGCGGCCGCGCAAGUCGGGUGUGAAAUCCCCGGGCUUAACUUGGGAAUUGCGCUCGAAACUACGUGGCUGGAGUGUGGCAGAGGAAGGUGGAAUUCCACGUGUAGCGGUGAAAUGCGUAGAGAUGUGGAGGAACACCGAUGGCGAAGGCAGCCUUCUGGGCCAACACUGACGCUCAUGCACGAAAGCGUGGGGAGCAAACAGG
rnacentral:rRNA from 1 species